UUAAGGGAGACCUCCCACUUGAAGACAAGAGGCACGUAGGCUAGUCUUACAACGCUGACAGUCAUUCAAGUCGGUCAACCAGGUCGUUCGAGAUUAAGUGUUUGACUCUCAGACUAUUUAGGUUUGGAGUAUGGGCUAUUAGCUCAGGUGGUUAGAGCGCACCCCUGAUAAGGGUGAGGUCCCUGGUUCGAGUCCAGGAUGGCCCACCUUUCAGAAGCCACGGCUCAGGUAUGCAAUACAGGUUGAAGAAAUUCACGUCUGCAUUGCCAGCUUGAGAUUGGAUUCUGUUCCUGGGGGUUUAGCUCAGUUGGUAGAGCGCCUGCUUUGCAAGCAGGAUGUCAGCGGUUCGAGUCCGCUAACCUCCACUGAAACUGAGUUUCAGCAACCUAGCUAGAUUAGGUCUAGUAGGACUGCUGGAACUUCUCCAGCAAGAACCUUGAAAACUGCAUAGCAACUUGUCAGGUAGAAAUCUAGAUAAUGGUUCCUAAGUCAAUGAGGAAUGGCGAAAUCCAUUCUUUGCGACUUAAGGUCAUCUUCUAGAAGUCACAGACACCAAAACAACUUUAGU
rnacentral:tRNA from 1 species